AAUUGAUUUGUCGCUUGGGGGCGAAAAGGGAAUUCAUCGCACGGGACGAAAACUUAGUUUGAUGAGUUUUGAUGGAUUUUAAUGGUGAAAAAUAUUUUUUUGUCUUUUAUUUUUGUUUUAUUUUUUAGUUAUAUGAUUUAUGUGUAGGUGUUGUUUACAAGAAAGUUUAUUUUUUAUCUUUUUAAAUUUAAAUGAAUUGAAA
rnacentral:lncRNA from 1 species